UGUUGGAUGUUAGCUGACCGUAUGUUAUGGAACUGCUUGUUACCCAAUGGGCCGCGCCGGCUGGCUCAUCCGUUUCUCUGGGUGUAGUCCCAUCCCUGGCCCGCAGUCCGCACAAUCUAUAUCAACAAAACUACAAAGUCUGUAGCAAAACAUACCUGUACAACAUUAUUCAAAAUGAACCACAUAAUCGAUAACAACAAACAAUCGGAAUUUCUAACAUAUGAACAACACUAACAGCUGUAACAACAAGCAAAUAUAAACAACAAAGCGUACCCGCCCUACCUGAGACGAUCACCUGAUCACCUGAUCAGCCCGUGUUGGCUGUUAUGCCCCCUCUCCCCUUCAAGUUGAGACUUAGCCGGACAUUUCUCUCUUCAGUAGAAUACAUUUUAUUUUCUUUAACAAGAUUAAAUGGAACAGGCGACGAAACACUGCAAAGUUAUUGCCCAAAAGAAAGAAAAAAGAACGAGGGGAAAGAUAUAAACAUCAGCAGCAAUAAUCUUUGGGGCCAUUCCUUCACUGUUCGCACUUUCGAAAAUUGUCUUACGUGAAACUAGGCGGAGCAAAAUCAGGAGUCUACGUCUGACUCUGCCAAUGACUCGGACGAGGAGGGGCGAAAUGGAACAGACUCACUCGGAGGAUGUGGCCGUGGUCUCGCCUGUGGCCGAUUCUUCGGUGUUGGAGCCCGGUCGUUGGUGGCGCGUCUCGCCGUCUUUAUGGUUGCACCGAGGCUUGGCUGACGGGCGGCGCGGAUAAUGCUUACAUGCGCCGCUGAGCCAAGUCUAUGCCGUUGUGGUGACUUCGUAGGCCUCUCUGAUCCGAGAAUUGGUAACUUCGUUGCCAGAGCCGUGGGUCGUUUUUAUUUAUUAAGUGUCUUAGGGCUUUUAUGUGUUCAUCACGUGUCGCGCUUAAGUUCUAAAUCUUUCUAUUUUGUAUAUAUUUUGACACAAUGUUUAAAUUUCGGUUUUAUCAAUAAACGGCAAAAAUAAUAA